UGACAGUGAGCAACUGUAAACAUCCUCGACUGGAAGCUGUGAACUCUCAAAUGGGCUUUCAGUCGGAUGUUUGCAGCUGCCUACUGCC
rnacentral:pre_miRNA from 1 species